rnacentral:rRNA from 1 species
GUAUGUGGCUUAAGCAUUAAUGCAUUGGAUCCCAUUAGAAUUUUGCAACUAAGCGCACUUGGGAUAGAGUAGUACUAGGAUGGGUGACCGCUUGAGAAGUCCUAGUGUUUACAUGCC